rnacentral:rRNA from 1 species
AGCGUGGACGGUGUGGCAAGUCUGAUGUGAAAGGCAUGGGCUCAACCUGUGGACUGCAUUGGAAACUGUCAUACUUGAGUGCCGGAGGGGUAAGCGGAAUUCCUAGUGUAGCGGUGAAAUGCGUAGAUAUUAGGAGGAACACCAGUGGCGAAGGCGGCUUACUGGACGGUAACUGACGUUGAGGCUCGAAAGCGUGGGAGCAAACA